UCUCGAUCCGGCUCCUCUGGAGCUCCGUCAGGGCUGCGCCGCUGCCGAGCAGGGCAUGAAAAAAAGAAAACUCAGAACAGAACCAAGAGUGAUCUUGCUGAGCUAAAGCAGCAAAGGGAAGAUCUGGCUGCUGGUACUUUCCAGUGCCCACCUGGC